AUGCUUCUUGCUAGAUACAUCAGCACCGUCGUCCUUUUCUUUGUCUCUCUUCUCAUAUUCAACCUUCUGCUUCUCAGCAAGCUGCUCCACUUGCCGACAAUCUUGAAGGUCAUGGCUUUUGGUGCGGUGGAUCUUGGAGUACUGCUUGGCGAAGCCCCCGACCAAAUCAGCGGCCACCAAGGCUUGGCACGAGGCGCACCCAGCAACCUCCUUGCUGCGGCUCUCAACCUUAGCCUUCUUGGCGGGGUCACUAUUGCUAGACUCCUCCACGGCAAGAACAACUUUGCCCUUGCGCUUCCUAUUGCACUUGCGGGUUUUCUUCUUUGA
rnacentral:rRNA from 1 species